rnacentral:rRNA from 1 species
AACGAACGCUGGCGGCAUGCCUAACACAUGCAAGUCGAACGAGAACUUCGGGAGCAGUGGCGUACGGGUGUGUCACGGGUGGGGACAUGAACUUAGGUUUGGAAUAACUAUCCGACUGGGGUAACAAUACCGGACAAUGUCUUAGGACCAAAGAUUUAUUGACCUUGGAUGUGCCCGCGUUGGAUUAGCUUGUUGGUAGGGUAAAAGACUAACAAGGCGACGAUCCAUAGGUUGUCUGUGAGGAUGGUUAGCCACACUGGGACUGGGACACGGCCCGGACUCCUACGCGAGGCAGCAGUGGGGAACAUUGGACAAUGGGCGAAAUCCUGAUCCAGCAAUGCCGCGUGAGUGAUGUAGUCCUGAGAGUUGUAAAGCUCUUUUACCCAGGAUGAUAAUGACAGUACCGGAAGAAUAAGCCCCGGCUAACUCCGUG